UACGAGAGGCCCAAACGUUAUUCGGAAUUCCUGGGCUUAAAGAGUUCGUAGGCGGUAUGACAAGUAGGGUGUGAAAGCCCUCGGCUCAACCGAGGAAUUGCGCUCUAAACUGUCGUACUUGAGGAAGCUAGAGGUGAGCGGAACUGAUGGUGGAGCGGUGAAAUGCGUUGAUAUCAUCAGGAACACCGGUGGCGAAGGCGGCGCUCUGGACCGAGACUGACGCUGAGGCGCGAAGGCGUGGGGAGCAAACAGG
rnacentral:rRNA from 1 species